rnacentral:rRNA from 1 species
UACGAAGGGGGCUAGCGUUGCUCGGAAUUACUGGGCGUAAAGGGCGCGUAGGCGGACAGUUUAGUCAGAGGUGAAAGCCCAGGGCUCAACCUUGGAAUUGCCUUUGAUACUGAUUGUCUUGAGUACGGGAGAGGUGUGUGGAACUCCGAGUGUAGAGGUGAAAUUCGUAGAUAUUCGGAAGAACACCAGUGGCGAAGGCGACACACUGGCCCGUUACUGACGCUGAGGCUCGAAAGCGUGGGGAGCAAACAGG